GGGGGGCUUAUACUGCAGUCGAGCGAGCUUGCCUAGAUGAUUUUAGUGCUUGCACUAAAUGAAACUAGAUACAAGCGAGCGGCGGACGGGUGAGUAACACGUGGGUAACCUGCCCAAGAGACUGGGAUAACACCUGGAAACAGAUGCUAAUACCGGAUAACAACACUAGACGCAUGUCUAGAGUUUGAAAGAUGGUUCUGCUGUCACUCUUGGAUGGACCUGCGGUGCAUUAGCUAGUUGGUAAGGUAACGGCUUACCAAGGCAAUGAUGCAUAGCCGAGUUGAGAGACUGAUCGGCCACAUUGGGACUGAGACACGGCCCAAACUCCUACGGGAGGCAGCAGUAGGGAAUCUUCCACAAUGGACGAAAGUCUGAUGGAGCAACGCCGCGUGAGUGAAGAAGGGUUUCGGCUCGUAAAGCUCUGUUGGUAGUGAAGAAAGAUAGAGGUAGUAACUGGCCUUUAUUUGACGGUAAUUACUUAGAAAGUCACGGCUAACUACGUGCCAGCAGCCGCGGUAAUACGUAGGUGGCAAGCGUUGUCCGGAUUUAUUGGGCGUAAAGCGAGUGCAGGCGGUUCAAUAAGUCUGAUGUGAAAGCCUUCGGCUCAACCGGAGAAUUGCAUCAGAAACUGUUGAACUUGAGUGCAGAAGAGGAGAGUGGAACUCCAUGUGUAGCGGUGGAAUGCGUAGAUAUAUGGAAGAACACCAGUGGCGAAGGCGGCUCUCUGGUCUGCAACUGACGCUGAGGCUC
rnacentral:rRNA from 1 species